UACAGAGGUCUCAACCGUUGUUCGGAUUCAUUGGGCGUAAAGGGUGCGUAGGCGGUCGCGUAAGUCAGGUGUGAAAUCCCGGGGCUCAACCCCGGAACUGCACUUGAUACUGCGUGGCUAGGGUACUGGAGAGGAGACUGGAAUUUACGGUGUAGCAGUGAAAUGCGUAGAUAUCGUAAGGAAGACCCAGUGGCGAAGGCGAGUCUCUGGACAGUUACCGACGCUGAGCACGAAGGCCAGGGGAGCAAA
rnacentral:rRNA from 1 species